rnacentral:rRNA from 1 species
CCUACGGGAGGCAGCAGUGAGGAAUAUUGGUCAAUGGGCGUAAGCCUGAACCAGCCAAGUCGCGUGAGGGAUGAAUGUCCUAUGGAUCGUAAACCUCUUUUAUAAGGGAAUAAAGUGUGGGACGUGUCCUAUUUUGUAUGUACCUUAUGAAUAAGGAUCGGCUAACUCCGUGCCAGCAGCCGCGGUAAUACGGAGGAUCCGAGCGUUAUCCGGAUUUCUUGGGUUUAAAGGGUGCGUAGGCGGCCUUUUAAGUCAGUGGUGAAAGUCUGUGGCUCAACCGUAGAAUUGCGUUGGAUACUGGGGGGCUUGAGUAUGUUUGAGGCAGGCGGAAUGCGUGGUGUAGCGGUGAAAUGCUUAGAGAUCACGAAGAACUCCGAUUGCGAAGGCAGCCUGCUAAGCCAUGACUGACGCUGAUGCACGAAAGCGUGGGGAUCAAACAGGAUUAGAUACCCCUGUAGUC